AGUUCGACUGCUGCCUGUAGAAAUACCUGCCCAUAUUUGUGAUUGCAGUAAUGGGACAGUCCUUGUUUCUUCCCUCUGUAGACUAUGCUAACUUUACAUGACAAUGGUCUUUACACUAGCCUUAACUGAAAUGUUAAACAGAUUAUCCUUUAUGACUAUCCCUUUAACUCUUUGGAGAUUAAUUUAAAAGAAUAUGAGUACUUUCAAUACUACAUAUAAUCAAACAUAUACAGAAAUAUCACCCAGUAAAACACCAGUAUUACCUGUUCUUCAUUUCAGAGUGGAAAAAUAUCAGCCAUUGCCUUCAGCUGCAGUUUCAAUGAAUGGGUUGCAGCAAGAUAAGCAGUGGAAAAGAUGUUUCAGGAGGAGUUUUUACUUGUCCAGCAUGCACUCUGGACAUGCUAGCUGUAUCUGUUGAUGGCAAUCGCCAACACUAUCGCUUUAAAAACAAAGCAAGCACAGAGAAAAGGGAAUUACUUAACCAACCUUUUAUACAGAGCGAUGUGGAGGUGUCUGAAUUUGUGGACUAUGUCCGCAAAAACAGUGACAGUAUCACGUAAGUAUUAUGAUUGACAAAUAUUACUGGUUAACUUGAUUUCACAGCUUUUCUCAAACAAUUUUACACAUUCCUUAAAGUAAAAUGUAUUGCUUAGAAAACAAUUAAACAGAUCCAGAAGAUAUCAAUAUGAUGCCCUCUGAAAACAUAUGUUUUACAUUAUGACUACUUAAGAUGUUUGUGUUCAUUGUUUUGAAAUUAGCUUGCACUGAAGUAGUUGGAGAUUGUGUAGUUUAAGAACAUAAUAUAACAGUUAACAGUAAAAAUGUACAACACAUGGUGGGAUAGAUUUGUUUGUUUGAAGCAUUAAUACUUUUUGAGAAAUCUAUAAACUUAUCUUGCAAAAGUUCAUGUCAAUGUUCUGUACAUAUUUUAUCAUUUUUUGUUGAUCAGGUGUUUAGUUCUGUCACAAUUAGAGUGGUCUAUUUAGCGGUGUAUCUUUUGAGCUUUUUAAUAAUUUAUAUAAUUUAUAUGAUCUAGGUGUUUGGAAGAGGAUUAUAUGGUGCAUCACACUGGACAGCAGCAAAAGAAUUGGCCAAGAAAUCAAGCACCAAACUGGAUGAGGAGGGAUUAGAGAUUGCUGUCUGUCGUCAUGGCGUUCUCCUUACGGCCUUAAAUAUGUUUCGAGGGGAAAUUUUUGCUUACCCCUUUUUUCUGCAGAAAAAACUUGCAGACAUGUCACAAGGGAGCAUCAAAUUCUGCUGUUCAGAUGUAGCCUGAAAAUACUUCCCAUAUCUCCAGCGUAUUUCUAAGCACUUCCCCGAGCUGCAGUCUUUACUGGACAUGCAUCCUUUUCUGUCAGUGAUGCAUGCCAAAGCACACUCUUGGAAAUGUGAGGUAUAUUGCCAUGUGUUUUAAGUAUGUUAUUAUAAGAAAUAAUAUAAAAAAAUAAAAAAUUUGAGUGCAUUGUUUUUGUCGGAUUU
ensembl:lncRNA